rnacentral:misc_RNA from 1 species
ACUGUAUUACGGGGGGCCGGCGUGGGAUUGCGUGCUUUGGUGCGCCUUCCCUCCCCGCCCUGUCUGAUACUACCCGUGUCUUUUGCGUACCAAUUGUUUCCUCGGUAGGCUUGCCUGCCGGCCGGACACCAUAAAACCUUUUGUGAUUGCAGUCAGCGUCGGAAAACUACAAUAAU